GGCGCCAGGAUCGUCUCAUUUCCUUCUUAAUCCCUAGCUCAGUUCCUGGUACAUAAUAGAGUCCAAUAAAUGCGAAGUAAAAGGCUGACUGAAGAAACAUUUUCUUUAUUGGGUCUUUCCAAGGAGGGUCCCAAUAAAUGUCACUUCUGAACGAUUUAAGAAAUAAUUCAGGAGUAAAGACACAGACCGAAUACGACCUUUAGGAGUGCUGGAGGCUCUGUUGGAGGAUGUAGCUUAGCUGAGGACCAAAUGGGGCUGCCAGGGAGCCACAGCAGUAGGCAGAUGCCCACCCAGGUGAGGGGCCCUAGGGGCCGGGAGGGGGUGGCUGAAGCGCAGCGGAGCGUGCUCCCCGGUGGGGGGUGGGGAGUGGGGGGCGGGGAGUUGUUCCUCGCUUGUCCAGUCAACCUCCCAGAUCGACCCCGAGAGAAAGGGCCCCGCCCCCAGGGGCAGAAGGUGCUGAUGGGGGAGAGAGGUCCGGAACAUAGAGGCCGCGCUAAUUUGCCCUUUACGGGAAGGAAACACCAGACAGAUGUCAGCAAGAAAUGUUCCCUGUGACCAGCUCCACCCUUUCUCCUAUGUUUGUUCACUCUUUACAAAAGCCGAUGGAGGUGUCCCCUCAUCUACAGAGGAGGAAGACGAGAGCCGUGAAGCGAGGAUAAUGAAGCGGAACAAACAGGCAGUAGGAGGAAUGUUACCAGAACCAGCAGCUUCAGCAUCACCUGGAAGUGUGUUAAAAAGGAGCACUCAGGCCCUGCCUCAGGCUUCCUGGCCAGAAUCUGCCUCGCAGCAAGAUCCCCAGCUGAUUCAAAUGCCCAUUUACAUCUGCGAAGCCCUGUCCUUCACUGUGUCUAGAUUAUCCCAGAGUUCCUCCUAAGGACUCCCAGCCUCUCUGGGUUCCGUCACUGGUGGGCGUCACUGUGACCUCCUGCGGGAGGCCUCUCCUGCUGCCUGAGCUCUGGGGCCUCCUGGGCACGCACAACUUGCAUCGCCCCUCCGGUUCUUUGCCCGGCACCUGGGAUUCUCGGCUCCUUCUUGCCCUGUCUCCACCCCAGCUGCUGAGUCCCUAGGCAGGUCGAAAGGCCAUCCUGUUGAAUAUUCACAGUAACCUUAGGUAUCCCCAGUCAACAGGAAAGAGAAAGCAAACCGGUGCCUGUGCUGCCCUGAUUUCAACAGAGCAGCCAACCUUUUAUCCAUUUCACAAACAAGCUUCCUCACGAGACCUUCUGUAAAUGUAUAUAUAUAUAUAUAUAAAAUAAUUUUGAAAAUCCUUAUGCUGAAUAGUCUCCAAAAAUCCUUGUGCUGAAUAAUCUCUGCAGUCCUUACAGUUAGGACAGGCUAUGAUCCAGGCCUGAUUUUCAUGUCUUGGGAUUUAUUCAUUGAGACACUAAACAAGUAUUUAUUGAGUGCCGUGAAGUUGUUUACUGAGUGACAGGACCUGAUCACUGUUUUGCUGUCGGGGAAACAGGCCAUGGGAGCAUGUGUAUGACAGAAACCCUAGUCCUUUUCUCUGUAGCAGCAGAGCCUGAGUUUCAGCUGGACACCUGGCUGCACAGAACACACCUGCAUUUCCCAAUCCCCCAGGUAGCUGGAUGUGGCUGUUUGGCUGUAUUUUGACCAGGGGGUAUAAAUGGAAUGGUGGGUACAGUUUGUGGGCUGUGCAGUUAGAGUAAGAGGGCAUGCCCUCCCCUUCUCCAUUUCUUCCUGCCAACUGGACAGAAUGCAGACUUGAGCGGUGAGCAAUGGGGUCAUGCGAGCAAAGGAAACACC
ensembl:lncRNA